rnacentral:rRNA from 1 species
UACGAAGGGGGCUAGCGUUGCUCGGAAUUACUGGGCGUGAAGGGAGCGUAGGCGGACAUUUAAGUCAGGGGUGAAAUCCCAGAGCUCAACUCUGGAACUGCCUUUGAUACUGGAUGUCUUGAGUGUGAGAGAGGUAUGUGGAACUCCGAGUGUAGAGGUGAAAUUCGUAGAUAUUCGGAAGAACACCAGUGGCGAAGGCGACAUACUGGCUCAUUACUGACGCUGAGGCUCGAAAGCGUGGGGGAGCAAACAGG